GUGGGGAAUAUUGGACAAUGGGCGAAAGCCUGAUCCAGCCAUGCCGCGUGUGUGAAGAAGGUCUUCGGAUUGUAAAGCACUUUAAGUUGGGAGGAAGGGCAGUAAGUUAAUACCUUGCUGUUUUGACGUUACCGACAGAAUAAGCACCGGCUAACUUCGUGCCAGCAGCCGCGGUAAUACGAAGGGUGCAAGCGUUAAUCGGAAUUACUGGGCGUAAAGCGCGCGUAGGUGGUUUUGUAAGUUGGAGGUGAAAUCCCCGGGAUCAACCUGUGAACUGCCUCCAAAACUGCAUGACUCGAGUACGGUAGAGGGUAGUGGAAUUUCCUGUGUAGCGGUGAAAUGCGUAGAUAUAGGAAGGAACACCAGUGGCGAAGGCGACUACCUGGACUGAUACUGACACUGAGGUGCGAAAGCGUGGGGAGCAAACAGGAUUAGAAACCCGAGUAGUCC
rnacentral:rRNA from 1 species